UACGGGGGGAGCAAGCGUUGUUCGGAUUUACUGGGCGUAAAGGGCGCGUAGGCGGCACUGCAAGUCAGUUGUGAAAUCUCCGGGCUUAACCCGGAAAGGUCAACUGAUACUGCAGGGCUAGAGUGCAGAAGGGGCAACUGGAAUUCUCGGUGUAGCGGUGAAAUGCGUAGAUAUCGAGAGGAACACCUGCGGCGAAGGCGGGUUGCUGGGCUGACACUGACGCUGAGGCGCGAAAGCCAGGGGAGUGAACGGG
rnacentral:rRNA from 1 species